CCUACGGGUGGCAGCAGUGAGGAAUAUUGGUCAAUGGACGAGAGUCUGAACCAGCCAAGUAGCGUGAAGGAUGACUGCCCUAUGGGUUGUAAACUUCUUUUAUAUGGGAAUAAAAUGUUCCACGUGUGGGAUUUUGUAUGUACCAUAUGAAUAAGGAUCGGCUAACUCCGUGCCAGCAGCCGCGGUAAUACGGAGGAUCCGAGCGUUAUCCGGAUUUAUUGGGUUUAAAGGGAGCGUAGGUGGAUUGUUAAGUCAGUUGUGAAAGUUUGCGGCUCAACCGUAAAAUUGCAGUUGAAACUGGCAGUCUUGAGUACAGUAGAGGUGGGCGGAAGUCGUUGUAUAGCGGUGAAAUGCUUAGAUAUCACGAAGAACUCCGAUUGCGAAGGCAGUUCACUGGACUGCAACUGACACUGAGGCUCGAAAGUGUGGGUAUCAAACAGGAUUAGAUACCCCUGUAGUC
rnacentral:rRNA from 1 species